GACGAACGCUGGCGGCGUGCUUAACACAUGCAAGUCGAACGCUGAAGCUCAGCUUUUGUUGGGUGGAUGAGUGGCGAACGGGUGAGUAACACGUGAGUAACCUGCCCCCUUCUUUGGGAUAACGCCCGGAAACGGGUGCUAAUACUGGAUAUUCACUGGUCUUCGCAUGGGGGUUGGUGGAAAGGGUUUUUCUGGUGGGGGAUGGGCUCGCGGCCUAUCAGCUUGUUGGUGGGGUGAUGGCCUACCAAGGCUUUGACGGGUAGCCGGCCUGAGAGGGUGACCGGUCACAUUGGGACUGAGAUACGGCCCAGACUCCUACGGGAGGCAGCAGUGGGGAAUAUUGCACAAUGGGCGCAAGCCUGAUGCAGCGACGCCGCGUGAGGGAUGGAGGCCUUCGGGUUGUGAACCUCUUUCGCUCAUGGUCAAGCCGCAACAAUGGUUGUGGUGAGGGUAGUGGGCAAAGAAGCGCCGGCUAACUACGUG
rnacentral:rRNA from 1 species